UGGCGGCGUGCCUAACACAUGCAAGUCGAACGAAGCAUUUGGAGUUGAUCCCUUCGGGGUGACGCACCUUAUGACUUAGUGGCGGACGGGUGAGUAACACGUGAGCAACCUGCCUCUCAGAGUGGAAUAACAGUUGGAAACGGCUGCUAAUACCACAUAACGUUUUUGUGCCGCAUGACACUUCAACCAAAGAUUUAUCGCUGAGAGAUGGGCUCGCGUCCGAUUAGGUAGAUGGUGGGGUAACGGCCUACCAUGCCGACGAUCGGUAGCCGGACUGAGAGGUCGAUCGGCCACAUUGGGACUGAGACACGGCCCAGACUCCUACGGGAGGCAGCAGUGGGGGAUAUUGCACAAUGGGCGCAAAGCCUGAUGCAGCAACGCCGCGUGCGGGAAGACGGCCUUCGGGUUGUAAACCGCUGUCCUUGGGGAAGAAACAAAUGACGGUACCCAAGAAGGAAGCCACGGCUAACUACGUGCCAGCCGCUGC
rnacentral:rRNA from 1 species